rnacentral:rRNA from 1 species
AGAGUGAGUAAAGUGGCGCACGGGUGAGUAACGCGUAGGUAAUCUACCCUGUUGUCUGGGAUAACAUCGGGAAACCGGUGCUAAUACCGGAUACACUCAAGUUUUCGCGAGUAGAUUUGAGGAAAGGUGCCCUCUGAUAUAAGGUACCGCAAUGGGAGGAGCCUGCGUACCAUUAGCUAGUUGGUGGGGUAACGGCCUACCAAGGCGACGAUGGUUAGCGGGUCUGAGAGGAUGAUCCGCCACACUGGAACUGGAACACGGACCAGACUCCUACGGGAGGCAGCAGUGAGGAAUUUUGCGCAAUGGGGGAAACCCUGACGCAGCGACGCCGCGUGGGUGAAGAAGGUCUUCGGAUUGUAAAGCCCUGUCAGAAGGGAAGAAGUGCAUAGUAGUUAAUACCUGCUAUGUUUGACGGUACCUUCAAAGGAAGCACCGGCUAACUCCGUGCCAGCAGCCGCGGUAAUACGGAGGGUGCGAGCGUUGUUCGGAAUCACUGGGCGUAAAGGGCGCGUAGGCGGCGUAACAAGUCAGAUGUGAAAGUCCACGGCUCAACCGUGGAAGUGCAUCUGAAACUGUUAUGCUUGAGUAUCGGAGGGGAGUGUGGAAUUCCCGGUGUAGAGGUGAAAUUCGUAGAGAUCGGGAGGAACACCGGUGGCGAAGGCGACACUCUGGACGAAUACUGACGCUGAGGCGCGAAAGCGUGGGGAGCAAACAGGAUUAGAUACCCUGGUAGUCCACAGCUGUAAACGAUGUGCACUAGGUGUAGGAGGUGUUGACCCCUUCUGUGCCGCAGCUAACGCAUUAAGUGCACCGCCUGGGGAGUACGGCCGCAAGGUUAAAACUCAAAGGAAUUGACGG